GGAAGCCAGCAUUUUGGAGAGGCAGCAUACAGAUGAAGGAUGAAAAGUCACCCUCUACAUAGUUCUUUUCCUCUGCUCCAUCCACUGAAAUCCAGAGAGUUGUAGAAAAAAAGGGUUAGUCAAGAGGGAGCUGACUACUUAAGGAUGAACUACCACUCAAGAGGACCAGUAAGAUAUUCUCCCUCUAAACCACUGAAACCAGCCAAAGAGUGUUUCCCCACUGCUGUUUGAAGAUGUUUGUGUUUCAGAAUUUUCUACUGUUCUUCUUGUUCUUUCUGAGCUGAUUGCCACACAGGUGACUCUGCCUCAAUCUUAUUCCUGAGAAGAAUAACCAACUCAACACCUGACACUUAUGGUGGUUUUCCACCUCAAGACUUCAUAUCUCAUGGCACCUCAGAUCCUUUAAGAGGCUUUUGUGAGAGAUGUUACUUAAUUUCUUUUGGAAAUCCAAGCAGACCUUAUCAAUCAGAUCUGCCUCAUGCACCAGCUAUUGGCCUGCUCAGGAACAGAGGUACGUUUGCAAGGCAGCACU
rnacentral:lncRNA from 1 species